AUGGGACACAGUGGGGCACAGUGGGAUUCAAUGGGGUUCUGUGGGGCACAGUAGGAUCCUAUAGGGUUACAUAGGACACAAUGGGGCGCUAUGGGGCACAAUAGGAUCCUAUGGGGCUCUGUAGGNNNNNNNNNNNNNAUCCUAUGGGGCACAGUGGGGCUCAAUGGGGCGCAGUGGGGCACAAUAGGAUCCUGUGGGGCCCCAUAGGACACAAUGGGGCUCUAUGGGGCACAAUAGGACCCUAUGGGGCUCUGUAGGAUCCUAUGGGGCACAGUGGGGCUCUAUGGGGCACAAUAGGACUCUAUGGGGCACAAUGGGACCCAAUGGGCCAAUCUAUGGGGCACAAUAGGACCCAAUGGGGCUCUAUGGGGCACUCUAUGGGGCACAAUAGGACUCAAUGGAGUGCUGUGUGGGGCAGAAUGGGACGCAAUGGGGAACAGUGGGGCUCUAUGGGGCACAAUGCGGCAUUCUAUGGGGCACAAUGGGACCCAAUGGCGCCCCAUAGGACCCUAUGGGGCGCUCUAUGGGGCACAAUAGGACUCUAUGGGGCACAAUGGGACCCAAUGGGCCAAUCUAUGGGGCACAAGGGGUCCCAAUAGGGCGCCGUGUGGGGCACAAUGGGGCACAAUGGGAGCCAAUGGGCCAAUCUAUGGGGCACAAUGGGGCCCAGUGGGGUGCAGUGUGGGGCACAAUGGGGCUCUAUGGGGCACAAUGGGGCUCUAUGGGGCAGAAGGGGAUCCAAUGGGGAACAGUGGGGCUCUAUGGGGCACAAUAGGACUCUAUGGGGCACAAUGGGACCCAGUGGGCCAAUCUAUGGGGCACAAUGGGAGCCAAUGGGGCCCCAUAGAACCCUAUGGGGCGCUCUAUGGGGCACAAUAGGACUCUAUGGGGCCCAAUGGGGCGCCGUGUGGGGCACAAUGGGGCUCUAUGGGGCACAGUGGGGCCCAAUGGGGCGCAGUGUGGGGCACAAUGGGGCUCUAUGGGGCACAAGGGGACCCAAUG
rnacentral:lncRNA from 1 species